CUUCCUCCUCCUCUUCCUCCUCCUCUUCCUCCUCCUCCUCCUCUUCCUCCUCCUCUUCCUCCUCUCCUUUCUUCUCCUCUGCCACCGUUCGUGACCUGAACUUUCCACAUCCCCCUUGCUGCCGCUCUUUACAAAAACCCCCAAUAUUCCACACCCACUGAGGGACUAUUCUGAAGAUAGUUGCCCAUUUUCUCUUCUCAGUAUGGGCACAAAGGAAACAGCUUUCUCCCCUGCCUGCUGUUGAAACAAAGGAGCAUUCAGUCUUAUCACCGCCAGGCUUUGGCUGAGGCUCCACACACAGUGACCCAACUGACUGCUGCUAACAAAAUAAAGGUUUCAUUUCGGCAUUCUUCCCCAUUUUGGUCUGUGUGGUGCCAAAGGAAAUAAACUUUUAUUUUUCCAGUAUCCAGACAUUCAGAUAACCAGAACUUGAAGGGGAGGAAGCUAUGGUCUGCAUUUUUUCUUUAGGAAACAAGUAAGUCAGAAGUGCUGAAAACAGGACUUUAAGCAGAAAAAGCAACAUAUGAGACCAAUGGACUAUGCAUUCAUGCCUUCUUCAAACUCACUUUCUGCGAAACCAGGCUCCUUCCCCGUGCUGGCAGAAGUUUCAACAGGACUGGUCCUAUUUGCAUUAAUAGACAAGGAAGCUCAAAGCAAGCUGAAUUAAAACUGGGCUCCUCGCUAUUGGGUUAUCCCGCAGUCAAAGGUUAGUGAUCUUCCAAAUUUUUCACCUCUCUUGACCUUAAAGAUUUCAAAUACUUCAAAAAUCCAAUUAUCUCUUAACAAAUAGUUCACAAGUGUUUAUGCAAGGUACUGAACGUGGUUCACAGGUGAGUGAGACACUGUCCCUGCCUUCAUGGAGCUUCCAUUCUAAUGGGGUGUUAGAUAAGCAUUUGGAACACCAUAAUACAAAGUAGCAUAAGAGGAAGGCUAUUGGGAUUCAAA